UCACGCCGAUGGUACUGCGUCAAGUGGGAGAGUAGGUAGUCGCCGUUU
rnacentral:rRNA from 1 species